rnacentral:rRNA from 1 species
CCUACGGGUGGCUGCAGUGAGGAAUAUUGGUCAAUGGACGAGAGUCUGAACCAGCCAAGUAGCGUGAAGGAUGACUGCCCUAUGGGUUGUAAACUUCUUUUAUAUGGGAAUACAGUGUUCCACGUGUGGGAUUUUGUAUGUACCAUAUGAAUAAGGAUCGGCUAACUCCGUGCCAGCAGCCGCGGUAAUACGGAGGAUCCGAGCGUUAUCCGGAUUUAUUGGGUUUAAAGGGAGCGUAGGUGGUUUGUUAAGUCAGUUGUGAAAGUUUGCGGCUCAACCGUAAAAUUGCAGUUGAAACUGGCAGUCUUGAGUACAGUAGAGGUGGGCGGAAUUCGUGGUGGAGCGGUGAAAUGCUUAGAUAUCACGAAGAACUCCGAUUGCGAAGGCAGUUCACUGGACUGCAACUGACACUGAGGCUCGAAAGUGUGGGUAUCAAACAGGAUUAGAUACCCCUGUAGUC